ensembl:snoRNA SNORD115 Small nucleolar RNA SNORD115
UGGCUAUAUGAUGAAAAACCAAUGUCAUGAAGAGAGGUGAUGACAUAAAAAUGAUGCUCAAUAGCAUUACGCUGAAGACCA